rnacentral:lncRNA from 1 species
CUUUGGACUUCUUGACAUGAUCGAGCUCAAGAACAUUAUUCAACUUCCAAUACUAACUAUCAAAGUUGGGUCCCAUAAGCAUAUCACUGUCUAACAGUGAGAAAAGCGACAAUUUACUAGCCAUAACUGUAUAAAAGAAAAACCAUAAGACCUAAUUAGUAUAUGAAUCAUUCAAGCCUAAAAAUAUGGACUUUAGUCUA